rnacentral:rRNA from 1 species
AUUGAACGCUGGCGGCAGGCCUAACACAUGCAAGUCGAACGAGUGGCGGACGGGUGAGUAAUGUCUGGGAAACUGCCUGAUGGAGGGGGAUAACUACUGGAAACGGUAGCUAAUACCGCAUACCAUCAGAUGUGCCCAGAUGGGAUUAGCUUGCUGGUGGGGUAACGGACCACCAAGGCGACGCUCCCGAGCUGGUCUGAGAGGAUGACCAGCCACACUGGAACUGAGAACAGGUCCCGGAUCCUACGGGGGGAAGCAGUGGGGAAUAAUCGGCAAUGGGCGAAAUGCUGAUCCAGCCCUGCCGCGUGGUUGAAGAAGGUUUUCGGAUUGUAAAGCCAUUUAAGGUGGGAAGCGUUACCAACAGAAUAAGCACCGGCUAACUUCGUGCCAGCAGCCGCGGUAAUAC